GUGGGGGAUAUUGCACAAUGGGGGAAACCCUGAUGCAGCGACGCCGCGUGGAGGAAAAAGGUUUUCGGAUUGUAAACUCCUGUCGUUAGGGACGAUAAUGACGGUACCUAACAAGAAAGCACCGGCUAACUACGUGCCAGCAGCCGCGGUAAAACGUAGGGUGCAAGCGUUGUCCGGAAUUACUGGGUGUAAAGGGAGCGCAGGCGGGAAGACAAGUUGGAAGUGAAAACCAUGGGCUCAACCCAUGAAUUGCUUUCAAAACUGUUUUUCUUGAGUAGUGCAGAGGUAGAUGGAAUUCCCGGUGUAGCGGUGGAAUGCGUAGAUAUCGGGAGGAACACCAGUGGCGAAGGCGGUCUACUGGGCACCAACUGACGCUGAGGCUCGAAAGCAUGGGUAGCAAACAGGAUUAGAAACCCCAGUAGUCC
rnacentral:rRNA from 1 species